UUAAGCGACUAAGCGUACACGGUGGAUGCCCUGGCAGUCAGAGGCGAUGAAGGACGUGCUAAUCUGCGAAAAGCGUCGGUAAGGUGAUAUGAACCGUUACAGCCGGCGAUGUCCGAAUGGGGAAACCCAGUGCAAUUCGUUGCACUAUCGUUAACUGAAUACAUAGGUUAACGAGGCGAACCGGGGGAACUGAAACAUCUAAGUACCCCGAGGAAAAGAAAUCAACCGAGAUUCCCCCAGUAGCGGCGAGCGAACGGGGAGCAGCCCAGAGUCUGAAUCAGCUUGUGUGUUAGUGGAACGGUCUGGAAAGUCCGACGGUACAGGGUGAUAGUCCCGUACACCAAAAUGCACAGGUUGUGAACUCGAAGAGUAGGGCGGGACACGUGGUAUCCUGUCUGAAUAUGGGGGGACCAUCCUCCAAGGCUAAAUACUCCUGACUGACCGAUAGUGAACCAGUACCGUGAGGGAAAGGCGAAAAGAACCCCGGCGAGGGGAGUGAAAAAGAACCUGAAACCGUGUACGUACAAGCAGUGGGAGCACCUUCGGGUGUGACUGCGUACCUUUUGUAUAAUGGGUCAGCGACUUAUAUUCUGUAGCAAGGUUAACCGUAUAGGGGAGCCGAAGGGAAACCGAGUCUUAACUGGGCGUUAAGUUGCAGGGUAUAGACCCGAAACCCGGUGAUCUAGCCAUGGGCAGGUUGAAGGUUGGGUAACACUAACUGGAGGACCGAACCGACUAAUGUUGAAAAAUUAGCGGAUGACUUGUGGCUGGGGGUGAAAGGCCAAUCAAACCGGGAGAUAGCUGGUUCUCCCCGAAAGCUAUUUAGGUAGCGCCUCGUGAACUCAUCUUCGGGGGUAGAGCACUGUUUCGGCUAGGGGGUCAUCCCGACUUACCAACCCGAUGCAAACUACGAAUACCGAAGAAUGUUAUCACGGGAGACACACGGCGGGUGCUAACGUCCGUCGUGAAGAGGGAAACAACCCAGACCGCCAGCUAAGGUCCCAAAGUCAUGGUUAAGUGGGAAACGAUGUGGGAAGGCACAGACAGCCAGGAUGUUGGCUUAGAAGCAGCCAUCAUUUAAAGAAAGCGUAAUAGCUCACUGGUCGAGUCGGCCUGCGCGGAAGAUGUAACGGGGCUAAACCAUGCACCGAAGCUGCGGCAGCGACACUAUGUGUUGUUGGGUAGGGGAGCGUUCUGUAAGCCUGCGAAGGUGUGCUGUGAGGCAUGCUGGAGGUAUCAGAAGUGCGAAUGCUGACAUAAGUAACGAUAAAGCGGGUGAAAAGCCCGCUCGCCGGAAGACCAAGGGUUCCUGUCCAACGUUAAUCGGGGCAGGGUGAGUCGACCCCUAAGGCGAGGCCGAAAGGCGUAGUCGAUGGGAAACAGGUUAAUAUUCCUGUACUUGGUGUUACUGCGAAGGGGGGACGGAGAAGGCUAUGUUAGCCGGGCGACGGUUGUCCCGGUUUAAGCAUGUAGGCUGGUUGUCCAGGCAAAUCCGGAUAAUCAAGGCUGAGGUGUGAUGACGAGGCACUACGGUGCUGAAGUAACAAAUGCCCUGCUUCCAGGAAAAGCCUCUAAGCAUCAGGUAACAUCAAAUCGUACCCCAAACCGACACAGGUGGUCAGGUAGAGAAUACCAAGGCGCUUGAGAGAACUCGGGUGAAGGAACUAGGCAAAAUGGUGCCGUAACUUCGGGAGAAGGCACGCUGAUAUGUAGGUGAAGCCCCUGCGGGUGGAGCUGAAAUCAGUCGAAGAUACCAGCUGGCUGCAACUGUUUAUUAAAAACACAGCACUGUGCAAACACGAAAGUGGACGUAUACGGUGUGACGCCUGCCCGGUGCCGGAAGGUUAAUUGAUGGGGUUAUCCGUAAGGAGAAGCUCUUGAUCGAAGCCCCGGUAAACGGCGGCCGUAACUAUAACGGUCCUAAGGUAGCGAAAUUCCUUGUCGGGUAAGUUCCGACCUGCACGAAUGGCGUAAUGAUGGCCAGGCUGUCUCCACCCGAGACUCAGUGAAAUUGAACUCGCUGUGAAGAUGCAGUGUACCCGCGGCAAGACGGAAAGACCCCGUGAACCUUUACUAUAGCUUGACACUGAACAUUGAGCCUUGAUGUGUAGGAUAGGUGGGAGGCUUUGAAGCGUGGACGCCAGUCUGCGUGGAGCCAACCUUGAAAUACCACCCUUUAAUGUUUGAUGUUCUAACGUUGACCCGUAAUCCGGGUUGCGGACAGUGUCUGGUGGGUAGUUUGACUGGGGCGGUCUCCUCCCAAAGAGUAACGGAGGAGCACGAAGGUUUGCUAAUGACGGUCGGACAUCGUCAGGUUAGUGCAAUGGUAUAAGCAAGCUUAACUGCGAGACAGACAAGUCGAGCAGGUACGAAAGUAGGUCAUAGUGAUCCGGUGGUUCUGAAUGGAAGGGCCAUCGCUCAACGGAUAAAAGGUACUCCGGGGAUAACAGGCUGAUACCGCCCAAGAGUUCAUAUCGACGGCGGUGUUUGGCACCUCGAUGUCGGCUCAUCACAUCCUGGGGCUGAAGUAGGUCCCAAGGGUAUGGCUGUUCGCCAUUUAAAGUGGUACGCGAGCUGGGUUUAGAACGUCGUGAGACAGUUCGGUCCCUAUCUGCCGUGGGCGUUGGAGAAUUGAUUGGGGCUGCUCCUAGUACGAGAGGACCGGAGUGGACGCACCACUGGUGUUCCGGUUGUGUCGCCAGACGCAUUGCCGGGUAGCUAAGUGCGGAAGAGAUAAGUGCUGAAAGCAUCUAAGCACGAAACUUGCCAAGAGAUGAGUUCUCCCUGUCUUUAAGACAGUAAGGGUUGUUUAAGACUAAGACGUAGAUAGGUCUGGUGUGUAAGCGGUGCGAGCCGUUGAGCUAACAGAUACUAAUUGCCCGAGAGGCUUAACUAU
rnacentral:rRNA from 1 species